UGUGUCAUUCUCUAUCCUUCUCUUUACUGCUGUACUUUAAUGGUGAAUUGUCUUAAGCUCUGCAGUCGCCCUUUUUUAAACACGCUGCAUUUUGACUCAGGGCUACAGUAAAAUAAAUAUGCGGUAAAGACAGGGUGAGAAAGCGUCCGCCUACGGAGAAACUAUCAACCUGUUGCGCCCGCAACAGAUCCCUGCACCAGGAGGUAAUGAUACACGUAGAGAAAACUGUAACUUAACAAAGCAGUAGCGUCAGGCAGCCUGCGGACACCCGCGGUAAUACGCAUCACAGAUACUGUACAUUAUUUCGCAUUUCUACGAUUCGAUUCCUAGUUAGUAAUUCGUGCCCGCGAGGUAUUCAGCAACAAUUCUUAACCUGCCUUCGAUAAUCAGCCUCCCCUCUGAGAGGAUGCGCGAUAAAGACGCUUCUUUUGCUCCUGCGAAAGUGAGAAACCGUCGAGAAGUUCGAAGAGGCAGCGGCGCGCAGCUUGCUGCUUGGCAGUGAAGGGUCGCUCUGUGGCGAGGAUCGCAUUCGACACAAUCAAGGGGGGCGUCGUUCACCUUCCGCGCGACGAAGAGACACUUUGCGCCUGGAUUGAUAUUGUGACCGGGAGACCGUAAGGAAGGUGGAGACGGUGGCAGCUUCAUUCGUGGCGCUUUGCAGGGGCUGUUGAAAAUGUAGACGCGUCCGGAAUGGAUUAUUGAAAGGAUUCCUCUUUAGAAACAAUAACCGAGAAGACUUUUUUUCCGCUUGGAAUAUAGCUGGAAAUAUUUUCUCUUCAUUUCAGUUUAUUAGUAACCUUUUUUAUAUAUAUAGUUUUUAUAUAUUUUUUCAGUAUUAAAAUGUAAUUGAUAAAUUCGAAGUAAUAAUCUUUGAUUACUGGCAUGUUGACUUCACCGUAAAUGUAGGAUUAUUAUUAUUAUUAUUAUUAUUAUUAUUAUUAUUAUUAUUAUUAUUAUGCUACUGAUACUGUUUAAAACGCUAAGAUUCCAAGGAGGAAAAUAACUUAGUCAUUACAUAUAACACUAGAUAAGUAUUAUGAACUCCUUAAUUUGGAGGAUUUUAAAGUAUUAACAUUAUUUAUGCCCACGAUUAUACACAAAUAAUAAAAAAAGAUUAAUUUGAGAAAUAGCAUUCAGUAAAGCUGAUUUAAUGGGAUUUUUUUUCCAGAGACGAGCUGCAUAGUUUUACAUAUUCAUAUAUACUUAUAUUAGAUUUGUUUAUAUAUUUUUAAAGUCAAUUUUCGUUAUUCAAAGACUGGCUAUACACCUUUUUUUUUCUAAAAAGACCAUCAUGUCAUCAAGGAUUUUAUUUUAAUUUUAGGCUAUGCCGUUUGAAUUCCAAAGCUUUUUGCGAACAGCCAGCGCAUAAUUUGCCAGUUAUGCAACUGCUAUUAAACUGACAGCCAGUUAUUUAAUUUUAAUUGAUUAACUUAUUUUUUAAGCCACAGACGGACGAGAUGGACUUGGUAUGUUGCAUCUGAAAUUAUGAAUGCUGACAGUUUUUAAUUAUGGAUUUAGAAAUAUUCCAUUUCAUCAGCAUGCAUCUAAAUGGAAUCGCCGAGGGAUAAAGAAAAAAAAAGGAAUUAAUUUAUUUGAGGAAUAUAAAAAAAAGUUGCCUUAUAAAUAAUGCAUUGACGAUAGUCCGUUACUUUGCCAGUGUAUUCUUGAGGAAAACAAGGGGCUCGCACAAGAGCUGAAGACUGCCGCUCUUAAAACAAGAGAACGAUGGUCUGACGGCUCCUUUUGUCCAUUUUUUAAAAAUUUUAUUUGUUGGGGGGAAAAUCGACGUGGAAUAUUCCCGGCACUCCAGAGGCUGUUUCCACAGACAAACACACCUUUAGCGCCAGAGAUUUUGGAUUACUGCAAGUGAAAGGACAACAGAAGCGCGUAUAGGCUGAGAAGUUGUCUGAAUGAGAAACUAACGGGAGUUUAUUGGUCUUUUGGAGAACCUUAAAAGAAAAAAAAAAAUCACACAGAGGAUGUUACAACCGACAUUACUGGGUUUCUUCCAGGAUUUCAUUUGAAAUGUGACAGCAGAGCAGGACGGAUCUACCGUGCAGCACGAGUGCUCUGCCUCUCCCGGCUCGCCCCGCUUUCAUUUUAUCCACCUGCAUAUUUUACAAAAAAGGAAAAGCCUGCGCGCUUCCAAGUGGGAUGAUGCGCUCGUGAAGCGGCGCCUUACUUAUUGUAUGCACUAUGCAUCGUCCAUCCUUGGGCUGUGGUAGCUUGUUGUUGCUUGCUAGUGGAGCUAAAAAGGGAACGCAGGCGAAUGGUUUGGAUUUCUUCUUCUGCUUCUUCUUUCAUCAUCAUCAUCAACAUCAUCAUCUUCUCCCUUCUCCUCAUCCAGUAUCCCGAUCGUGCGAUGAAGAGUAACGCGGCUUUCUGUUGAUCGCUGUGCAUGGAAGCCGCCCUUUCAGCGCCAGCCUGCCUGCGCAUCUUCUUCCUGGACUGCUGCUGCUACUGCAAAAAACAAGACUAGCGGAGCCGAAACGAAUGAUUUAUUCAUGGACAGAAAUUAAGGCCCAGCUGGGUUCAUGCAGCCUCAGCCCUAGUAUGGACACAGCUGCCAUAUCCCGCUAACCACAGGCCUCCCUCAUUUGCUGUUGGAAUUGCAUGCCACGUGCCAGCCUUGGAGGAACCAGCUUGGCCUUAAGAUGUGUGCAGAUCUUCUUACACAUCCAAGAUAGAGUUUCAGGUCACAGCCGGACCAUGGAGAGGCUUAUAUUUUACCUUCUGAUGCUUAGCACCUCAAUAAAGGCACAGGUGUGUCCUAAACGGUGCAUGUGCCAGACCCUUUCACCCUCCUUUGCCAUCCUGUGUGCCAAGACGGGUCUGUUGUUUGUACCAACAGUUAUCGACCGAAGAACUGUAGAACUCCGGUUAACAGACAAUUUCAUUACUGUGGUGCGGAGGAAGGAUUUUGCCAACAUGACCAGCCUCUUACACCUAACUCUGUCCAGGAACACAAUAAGCCAGAUAAUGCCUUAUACCUUUGCUGACUUAAAGGGGCUGCGGGCCCUCCACUUGGACAGUAAUCGACUGACAGUUGUUGGGGAUGACCACUUCCGAGGUCUGACGAAUCUGAGACAUCUGAUUCUCAGCAACAACCAGCUGCAUGAAAUCUCCCCCAAUUCUUUUGACGACUUUCUAGGCACUUUAGAAGAUUUGGAUCUUUCCUACAAUAACUUAGUCAACAUCCCUUGGGAUACUAUCGGACGCCUGACAAAUGUCAAUACGUUAAAUAUGGAUCACAAUUUAAUCGAUUUUGUUCCCGAAGGGAUUUUCUCAAAUCUCCACAAGCUUGCAAGGUUGGAUAUGACCUCAAACAAACUAAAAAAAAUUCCUCCAGACCCCCUUUUCCUGAGAAUUCCUGUCUAUGCCAAAUCCAAAGGAUCACCCCUAACCUCUCUGGUUCUCAGCUUUGGUGGGAAUCCUUUACACUGCAAUUGUGAGCUGCUGUGGCUCCGAAGACUGACUAGGGAGGAUGACUUGGAAACCUGUGCCUCUCCUCCUGAUCUUACGGCAAAAUACUUCUGGACUAUCCCGGAAGAGGAGUUCAUUUGUGAUCCUCCUGUUAUCACAAGGAAAUCCCCCAAGACAUUUGUAAUGGAAGGCCAGUCAAUCAGUCUCAAGUGUAAAGCUAAUGGAGAUCCCGAUCCCUCCAUCCACUGGGUUUCCCCAGAGGGGAAACUGAUAUCCAAUACCUCCAGGACUGUUUCCUUUGACAAUGGGAGUUUAGAAAUUAACAUUGCUACCGUAAAGGAUACUGGAGUUUUUACUUGCAUUGCAUCUAAUGCUGCCGGGGAAUCAACGGCUCCUGUAGAGCUUGUAGUGAAUCCUCUACCCCAUCUUGCCAACAGCACGAGUCGGGUUCGGGAGCCAGAACCUGGACCUUCGGAUAUUCUCACUUCAGCUAAAUCUACUUCUCCAUCUACCAAUGAUACUAAAUCUACACAGGACAGGAAGGUGAUUUUGGUUGAACUCACAACAAACUCGGCUCUGGUUAAGUGGCCGGUCCAGAGGCAUAUUCCAGGGAUUCGAAUGUAUCAGGUUCAGUACAACAGCUCGACAGAUGACACACUUGUAUACAGGAUGAUCCCUUCCUCCAGUCAAGAUUUCCUGGUUAAGGACCUGAUCUCAGGGCGUGAGUAUGACCUCUGUGUUCUGGCUGUCUAUGAUGAUGGGAUCACCUCUCUGACUGCUACUAGGGUUGUGGGUUGUCUGCAGUUCACCACGGAUCAAGAAUAUAGCCAGUGCCAGUCUAUGCAUAGCCAGUUCCUGGGAGGAACCAUGAUCAUCAUCAUCGGAGGCAUCAUUGUUGCCUCUGUACUGGUCUUCAUUAUAAUCCUAAUGAUCCGCUAUAAAGUCUAUAGCAACCAAGGGGAGCUGAGGAAGGCAAAAGUCAACAAUGUUUGCUCACAGACUAAUGGGAGUCAGUCAGGACAAGUGACCCGCUCUGCCUCUAAAGGGACAGAGAACCAAGAGGAGCAAAUACAAGCUGCUACUGGAGGUGGUGCUAGUGGAGGAGGAACGGGGGCAAGUUCAAGUGCUGCCAUGAAGGACCCUAAUACUGUGGCGCUAGUCAUGGAAUGUGAAAGGGUGACACAGAUAUCAGAAAUGACUGCAGAGGACAUUUUGUCACCUCUGAAAAGACAAAAAUCAAGGACUAGCUUUGAUCUAACAAGGCGAUCUUCUAUGUCUUGUAAGGAAAUGAAAAGCCCAGAAGGAUCUGCAGAUGCACAGAUGGCUCAGGCUGCAGAAGAGAAGAAGAGUCCUCGGGAAUGGAGUGAUUUUAAAAUUUGAUGACUUCGUUCACAGGCCCUGGGAAACAGCCAUCAUUCUAAAGAAACAUUCCAAGUCGUGUUGUCCUACUGGAAUCGGCGUGGUGGCCAGUACGACUUGUUUGUCUUACCCCAAAAUGGACGUUCCUUCACUUUUCCUAUGACCCCUAUGAGACACAAAGACUUUUAAAGUAAACUGCAUUUGCACUGAGCUCACUCACCAGACCCCCCGCCUCCCCACCUUUGAUCACUGACUUUAAAGCACCUACAGCCUUUUAUGUUUGCUUCAGAUCGGACUAGCCAUAUAUUUCCAAGCUCUACAACACUACUGGACCGGAUAGGAGGACACAGCAGCAGGUAUGCCCCUUGUUUCCUGAAAACUAAAAGUCUACAUUACAAUUUUUCUUUAUUCAAAAAGGAAGAGACAAUGGAUAAUUUCUGCUGCUGCGCUGCCCCUUGAUCACUUAAAAUUAUAAAGUUAUGAUAAGUUUGAUGAGGAUUGUUGCCAUCACACGCCAAUCGGAGCUUUCACAAAAAAAAUAAGAAUCCCAUUUCAAUUCUCAAGUCAUUCUUUUUUUUUGUAUUUGUACAUACUUGUGUUUCAAAUCUUAUAGUUUUGUACAUGUAAUUUUUUAUGGUGUGUGAAAUUUUUUUUAUAAUAAAAAUUCCAAAUAAA